UACGGAGGGGGCGAGCGUUAUUCGGAAUUAUUGGGCGUAAAGGGCGCGUAGGCGGCCUGAUAAGUCAAAGGUGAAAUCCCUCGGCUCAACUGAGGAAUUGCCUUUGAAACUGUCAGGCUUGAGGCCGGGAGGGGGUGGCGGAAUUCCCAGUGUAGCGGUGAAAUGCGUAGAUAUUGGGAGGAACACCAGUGGCGAAGGCGGCUCACUGGACCGGCACUGACGCUGAUGCGCGAAAGCGUGGGGAGCAAACGGG
rnacentral:rRNA from 1 species